AUGUCAAAUAAUCCCAUCUCUUGCACAUUGCACUAUUUGUAUCGUCAUGCUCUCAUAGGAGCCCCUUUUAAUAAACAAUACAUAGCUCUUGUCUGUUAUUGUAUUCAUUUAUUUUUAUAUAAAUAUGUUCAGUCAUGA
rnacentral:rRNA from 1 species